rnacentral:rRNA from 1 species
GAUGAACGCUGGCGGCGUGCCUAAUACAUGCCAGUCGAGCGAACAGAUGAGGAGCUUGCUCCUCUGACGUUAGCGGCGGACGGGUGAGUAACACGUGGAUAACCUACCUAUAAGACUGGGAUAACUUCGGGACACCGGAGCUAAUACCGGAUAAUAUAUUGAACCGCAUGGUUCAAUAGUGAAAGACGGUUUUGCUGUCACUUCUAGAUGGAUCCGCGCCGCAUUAGCUAGUUGGUAAGGUAACGGCUUACCAAGGCAACGAUGCGUAGCCGACCUGAGAGGGUGAUAGGCCACACGGGAACUGGGACACGGUCAAGACGCCUAAGGGAGGCAGCAGUAGGGAAUCUGACGCAAUGGGCGAAAGCCUGACGGAGCAACGCCGCGUGAGUGAUGAAGGUCUUCGGAUCGGAAAAAUCUGUUAUUAGGGAAGAACAAAUGUGUAAGUAACUAUGCACGGAUUGACGGUAACUAAUCAGAAAGCCACGGCUAACUACGUG